rnacentral:lncRNA from 1 species
AUCUCUUCGAAAUUGGAAUUUGUGAAAGAAGAAAUGACAUGUUAUAUGUUAUCUUACAUGUGUACUUUCAAUUUCAAUAUGGUUCUAAAUUUAGAUUUAGUUUUCCCAUAAAUUGCGGACGGAAUAGAAGACACCUGUUUAUUUUCUGCACAUGUAGAAAAAGUUGAAAACGGGGAGUUGAAUGACAUAAUUUUUACUUAUUUUAAGAUAAUUGUUAGAGUGAGACAAUUUUUAAGUUACUAAGUAAUUUUUGAGGCAUAAUUUGUUUAUUUUUUGUUUGUUUUCCGUCUUUGUUCUUUCGACUGGUAAGUUUUGCACUAGUGGUCAAAUUAUUCUCUUGGUAUCGUCUGAUUUCUUAUAUGAAUAUAAAUCAUGUCCUUUAAUUUUCAAUUGCACAAAAUAAGAACAUUUCAACGUCUUUUUAAUUAAACAAUUAAAUUCACACGUCUUUCAUUAAUUAUUUGUAACCUAUUAUAAAACUUUACGUUGAUUACUGUGUUUUUCGUUCAAGACUACGGCUUUUUAAAACGAUAUUGUUGGGUCAAUUCAGGUUCCAUUUUAAUUAAUUUGAUAUCAAUAGAAUAAAAAUUGUUACAUGUUUAUUUGUUUAUUUGUUUAUAAUUUUGUUGUGAGGCGUUUUUUCUUUCUGUUGAUAUCAUAACCACGAAAUGCCUUCUCCUACGCGUCUAAAACAACAAAAAAAAAACAGUGUUUUUAAGUCAGGCUUCACACAGAACAACGUACACAGUGAGUGCUGUGAUUUCUAAUUGGAGUUAUUUAGAUAAUUUCUAUGAGGUUUAAGACAGCACAGGCGUGCUUGUUGGAUUCAUUAUAGACCGCAGAAAGUAGUUUCUCUUUCAUGUGUCCUUUCUUGGAGUAAGGGAGAUAACUUGCGUAACUAACGACGAACGUUUUUAAUC